rnacentral:rRNA from 1 species
ACGCUGGCGGCGUGCCUAAUACAUGCAAGUCGAACGCACAGCGAAAGGUGCUUGCACCUUUCAAGUGAGUGGCGAACGGGUGAGUAACACGUGGACAACCUGCCUCAAGGCUGGGGAUAACAUUUGGAAACAGAUGCUAAUACCGAAUAAAACUUAGUGUCGCAUGACACAAAGUUAAAAGGCGCUUCGGCGUCACCUAGAGAUGGAUCCGCGGUGCAUUAGUUAGUUGGUGGGGUAAAGGCCUACCAAGACAAUGAUGCAUAGCCGAGUUGAGAGACUGAUCGGCCACAUUGGGACUGAGACACGGCCCAAACUCCUACGGGAGGCUGCAGUAGGGAAUCUUCCACAAUGGGCGAAAGCCUGAUGGAGCAACGCCGCGUGUGUGAUGAAGGCUUUCGGGUCGUAAAGCACUGUUGUAUGGGAAGAACAGCUAGAAUAGGAAAUGAUUUUAGUUUGACGGUACCAUACCAGAAAGGGACGGCUAAAUACGUGCCAGCAGCCGCGGUAAUACGUAUGUCCCGAGCGUUAUCCGGAUUUAUUGGGCGUAAAGCGAGCGCAGACGGUUUAUUAAGUCUGAUGUGAAAGCCCGGAGCUCAACUCCGGAAUGGCAUUGGAAACUGGUUAACUUGAGUGCAGUAGAGGUAAGUGGAACUCCAUGUGUAGCGGUGGAAUGCGUAGAUAUAUGGAAGAACACCAGUGGCGAAGGCGGCUUACUGGACUGCAACUGACGUUGAGGCUCGAAAGUGUGGGUAGCAAACAGGAUUAGAUACCCUGGUAGUCCACACCGUAAACGAUGAACACUAGGUGUUAGGAGGUUUCCGCCUCUUAGUGCCGAAGCUAACGCAUUAAGUGUUCCGCCUGGGGAGUACGACCGCAAGGUUGAAACUCAAAGGAAUUGACGGGGACCCGCACAAGCGGUGGAGCAUGUGGUUUAAUUCGAAGCAACGCGAAGAACCUUACCAGGUCUUGACAUCCUUUGAAGCUUUUAGAGAUAGAAGUGUUCUCUUCGGAGACAAAGUGACAGGUGGUGCAUGGUCGUCGUCAGCUCGUGUCGUGAGAUGUUGGGUUAAGUCCCGCAACGAGCGCAACCCUUAUUGUUAGUUGCCAGCAUUCAGAUGGGCACUCUAGCGAGACUGCCGGUGACAAACCGGAGGAAGGCGGGGACGACGUCAGAUCAUCAUGCCCCUUAUGACCUGGGCUACACACGUGCUACAAUGGCGUAUACAACGAGUUGCCAACCCGCGAGGGUGAGCUAAUCUCUUAAAGUACGUCUCAGUUCGGAUUGUAGUCUGCAACUCGACUACAUGAAGUCGGAAUCGCUAGUAAUCGCGGAUCAGCACGCCGCGGUGAAUACGUUCCCGGGUCUUGUACACACCGCCCGUCACACCAUGGGAGUUUGUAAUGCCCAAAGCCGGUGGCCUAACCUUUUAGGAAGGAGCCGUCUAAGGCAGGACAGAUGACUGGG